UACGUAGGGAGCGAGCGUUGUCCGGAUUCAUUGGGCGUAAAGAGCUCGUAGGCGGCUUGGCAAGUCGGGUGUGAAAACUCCAGGCUCAACCUGGAGACGCCACCCGAUACUGCCAUGGCUAGAGUCCGGUAGGGGACCACGGAAUUCCUGGUGUAGCGGUGAAAUGCGCAGAUAUCAGGAGGAACACCGGUGGCGAAGGCGGUGGUCUGGGCCGGAACUGACGCUGAGGAGCGAAAGCGUGGGGAGCGAACAGGAUAGAU
rnacentral:rRNA from 1 species